rnacentral:misc_RNA from 1 species
GAUGAAGAACGCAGCGAAAUGCGAUACGUAAUGUGAAUUGCAAAUUCAGUGAAUCAUCGAGUCUUUGAACGCACAUUGCGCCCCCUGGUAUUCCGGGGGGCAUGCCUGUCCGAGCGUCAUUGCUGCCCUCAAGCACGGCUUGUGUGUUGGGCCCCGUCCUCCGAUUCCGGGGGACGGGCCCGAAAGGCAGCGACGGCACCGCGUCCGGUCCUCGAGCGUAUGGGGCUUUGUCACCCGCUCUGUAGGCCCGGCCGGCGCUUGCCGAUCAACCCAAAUUUUUAUCCAGGUUGACCUCGGAUCAGGUAGGGAUACCCGCUGAACUUAAGCAUAUCAAUAAGCGGAGGA